AUUCGGCGGGUUGUGUGGGGAAUGAACCUAAUCCCCCCGGAUCGCGGGGAUUUGGGGGCGGGGAGGGGCGCCUCCCGCACUAGCGAGCCUGAGCGCCCAGCCCCCGUGCCGAGGACGCGCUUCGGACACUCACGUUUUCUGCACCGGCUUCCGCCGUUUGCGACUGGCAUAGGUGAUGUUGGCGCUGCUGCUGUUCAUGGUGCCCAGCCGGCGGCAGCUCCUUACCGGUACAAACAGCCCGGGUCCCCCCGACUCUGUGGCGGCCGGGAAGGCGGCGACCGCCGGCGCGCUCCACAAAACCGCACUCGUUCCACCUGCGUCCUCCUGGGACAGUGACUAGGGCGCCGCGCCCCUCGCGCCGGGCUCCCGCAGCCUGAGCCAGUCCAGGUCUUUGCGUCACAGCAUCAAAAAAGCUGACUAAAAACAUCCACCCUACUUCCAAAAACACCAUUAACAUUCCUGAAGCACUCAAGUCUUCACACUUCAGUAUUUCCUCCUCCCUGGGUGUGUUGGAACUGGCUUGGAUCCAUUUGUGACAGCCGACUGUACACAUUUCUUCUCAGCUUUGUGUUCAGGACUUGGAGCUCUGGAAAGAAGCAUAAUAUUUUCCUGAUAUUGGGACUAAUUUGUUUAAAAUUCAUAACUUAAACCUUAUUGUUUUUGCUGUGAUAAAUGAACAUUUUUUCCUUAAAUAUAUUUAUGAAGAUGCUGAGACCA